rnacentral:rRNA from 1 species
GGGGAAUAUUGGACAAUGGGCGAAAGCCUGAUCCAGCAAUGCCGCGUGGGUGAAGAAGGUUUUCGGAUUGUAAAGCCCUUUCGGCGGGGACGAUGAUGACGGUACCCGCAGAAGAAGCUCCGGCUAACUUCGUGCCAGCAGCCGCGGUAAUACGAAGGGGGCUAGCGUUGCUCGGAAUGACUGGGCGUAAAGGGCGCGUAGGCGGUCUGUACAGUCAGAUGUGAAAUUCCUGGGCUCAACCUGGGACUGCAUUUGAUACGUGCAGGCUUGAGUGUGGAAGAGGGUUGUGGAAUUCCCAGUGUAGAGGUGAAAUUCGUAGAUAUUGGGAAGAACACCGGUGGCGAAGGCGGCAACCUGGUCCAUUACUGACGCUGAGGCGCGAAAGCGUGGGGAGCAAA